rnacentral:rRNA from 1 species
AACGAACGCUGGCGGCAGGCUUAACACAUGCAAGUUGAGCGGGAUUAGUUGGUAGCUUGCUAUUGACUAUGAGAGCAGCGCACUGGUGAGUAACACGUGGGAACAUGCCUUUUGGUGGGGGACAACAGUUGGAAACGACUGCUAAUACCGCAUAAGCCCUGAGGGGGAAAGAUUAAUUGCCGAAAGAUUGGCCCGCGGAAGAUUAGGUAGUAGGUGGGGUAACGGCCUACCUAGCCGACGAUCUAUAGCUGGUCUGAGAGGACGAUCAGCCACAUUGGAACUGAGACACGGUCCAGACUCC